CCCUUAGAUGUCCUGGGCCGCACGCGCGUUACACUGAUGCAUUCAACGAGCUUAUAACCUUGGCCGAGAGGCCUGGGCAAUCUUGUUAACGUGCAUCGUGAUAGGGAUAGAUUAUUGAAAUUAUUAAUCUUGAACGAGGAAUUCCUAGUAAACGCAGAUCAUCAAUCUGCAUUGAUUACGUCCCUGCCCUUUGUACACACCGCCCGUCGCACCUACCGAUCGAAGGUAAUGAUGAGCCCUCAGGAUUGUGGCCUCGUCGCGUCAGCGUCUUGGCUGCGAGAAUCUGUGCAAAUCCCUACCUUUAGAGGAAGGUGAAGUCGUAACA
rnacentral:rRNA from 1 species